rnacentral:miRNA from 1 species
UGUAUGUGUGUGUGUAGGUGCAUGUAUGUUCAUGUAUGCAUAUGUAUACACACAUAUGUAUAU